GCUGAAUUAGCUCAGUAGGUUAGAGCGCUUCACUGAUAAUGAAGAGGUCCGUAGUUCAAGUCUACGAUUCAGCACCG
rnacentral:tRNA from 1 species